rnacentral:rRNA from 1 species
UACGGGGGGAGCAAGCGUUGUUCGGAUUAACUGGGCGUAAAGGGCGCGUAGGCGGUCAGCACAAGUCAGUUGUGAAAUCUCCGGGCUUAACUCGGAAAGGUCAACUGAUACUGUGCGACUAGAGUGCAGAAGGGGCAACUGGAAUUCUCGGUGUAGCGGUGAAAUGCGUAGAUAUCGAGAGGAACACCUGCGGCGAAGGCGGGUUGCUGGGCUGACACUGACGCUGAUGCGCGAAAGCCAGGGGAGCGAACGGG